GAUGAACGCUGGCGGCGUGCUUAACACAUGCAAGUCGAACGGACAGGCGCUGCUUUUGUGGGGUGCACGAGUGGCGAACGGGUGUGUAACACGUGUGUAUACCGCCCUUGACUUUGGGAUAACUUCAGGAAACUGGGGCUAAUAUCGGAUAGGAGAUCUUGAUGCAUGGUGGGGGUUGGAAAGUUUCGGUGGUUGGGGAUGGACUCGCGGCUUAUCAGCUUGUUGGUGGGGUAGUGGCUUACCAAGGCUGUGACGGGUAGCCGGCCUGAGAGGGUGACCGGCCACAUUGGGACUGAGAUACGGCCCAGACUCCUACGGGAGGCAGCAGUGGGGAAUAUUGCACAAUGGGCGGAAGCCUGAUGCAGCAGCGCCGCGUGCGGGAUGACGGCCUUCGGGUUGUAAACCGCUUUCGCCUGUGACGAAGCGUGAGUGACGGUAAUGGGUAAAGAAGCACCGGCUAACUACGUG
rnacentral:rRNA from 1 species